UCGCCAUUUUGAAUUUUGAAAAUCUGACAACGGAUUCGUAAUCAGCGACCCAGAAAACCCUUUGAUACGAAGUUUUAUAGAAAUCGGUUAAAAGGAAAAAUUCGUGGCUCAAAGGGUUAAGCGAACCAUGCCCAGAAAAUAAACCGGCUUUGAAGAACACAGUCCGGGACAUCCAGAUGCACGAGAUAAGGACCUGAUGUGCUGGUGAUAACUGCAAUUUACCAUAAUUACAAUCGUCUAUUUCGCUGAUCCUAAUAUGCUCAUCGAUAGCCAAUCCCAUCUCCGCGAAUGACGACGAAUAAACUGAAAGACAAAACUGAAAAGUCAGCAGCGUCCUUCGAAAGAUUCAGCACUUCUCCCGUGAAUUCCGGAUCUGUGGACGAACUUCGACUUUCCGGGCCGGCGCGGAAAGUGAUCGCCAGUAGAGCGGUCAACAUUCCGUAGAAAGGACGAUUCUCGGC